CUGCCAAAGACCCCGUCCGGUAGGUGAGUGGCUCACUUUGAGGGCAAGCCUUCUCGGAUCGAGGCUUCUUCAUGGCCGCUCAGAUCGUGAGCGGCCGGGGCUGCUCUCUUUGCGGAGGACGGCGUCUAAUGAGCGCAGUUGAUUCGAGGAAGUACUAGCCGGACAUCAUGAGUGGCUGUCGAGUAUUCAUCGGGAGACUAAAUCCAGCGGCCAGGGAGAAGGACGUGGAAAGAUUCUUCAAGGGAUAUGGACGGAUAAGAGAUAUUGAUCUGAAAAGAGGCUUUGGUUUUGUGGAAUUUGAGGAUCCGAGGGAUGCAGAUGAUGCUGUGUAUGAGCUUGAUGGAAAAGAACUCUGUAGUGAAAGGGUUACUAUUGAACAUGCUAGGGCUCGGUCACGAGGUGGAAGAGGUAGAGGACGAUACUCUGACCGUUUUAGUAGUCGCAGACCUCGAAAUGAUAGACGAAAUGCUCCACCUGUAAGAACAGAAAAUCGUCUUAUAGUUGAGAAUUUAUCCUCAAGAGUCAGCUGGCAGGAUCUCAAAGAUUUCAUGAGACAAGCUGGGGAAGUAACGUUUGCGGAUGCACACCGACCUAAAUUAAAUGAAGGGGUGGUUGAGUUUGCCUCUUAUGGUGACUUAAAGAAUGCUAUUGAAAAACUUUCUGGAAAAGAAAUAAAUGGGAGAAAAAUAAAAUUAAUUGAAGGAAGCAAAAGGCACAGUAGGUCAAGAAGCAGGUCUCGAUCCCGGACCAGAAGUUCCUCUAGGUCUCGUAGCCGAUCCCGUUCCCGUAGUCGCAAAUCUUACAGCCGGUCAAGAAGCAGGAGCCGGAGCCGGAGCCGGAGCAAGUCCCGUUCUGUUAGUAGGUCUCCCGUGCCUGAGAAGAGCCAGAAACGUGGUUCUUCAAGUAGAUCUAAGUCUCCAGCAUCUGUGGAUCGCCAGAGGUCCCGGUCCCGAUCAAGGUCCAGAUCAGUUGACAGUGGCAAUUAAACUGUAAAUAACUUGCCCUGGGGGCCUUUUUUUAAAAAACAAAAACCACAAAAAUUCCCAAACCAUACUUGCUAAAAAUUCUGUAGAUUUAAAACACAGAACACAUCCAGAAUCCUGGAGUUGGUUACGGUCUCCUUUUAAAAAUAAUGUUUUUGACGUCUCCAGGCUAGUCAAAAGAUAACAGAAGUAAGUGAAUGCUAAAAUCACAAUUGUUGAGUUUUCUUUGUGUCUGUGGCCCCCCAUCUAUCCCCCCAUGUUUUUCCUUUAUCUUCUGACUUUAUUGGCAUCAGGUUACUUAAGCUUUCAGAGCCAAGAGGAGGAUAGUGUGGGAAGCAGUGUUUCUUGCCUGCCUUAAAGAUUAUGACAGGUUUUUUUGUUCUUUUUUUUUUUUUUUUGGAGACGGAGUCUCACUCUGUCACCCAGGCUGGAGUGCAGUGGCGCAGUCUCGGCUCACUGCAAGCUCCGCCUCCUGGGUUCACGCCAUUCUCCUGCCUCAGCCUCUCCGAGUAGCUGGGACUACAGGCGCCCGCCACCACGCCCGGCUAAUUUUUUGUAUUUUUAGUAGAGACGGGGUUUCACCGUGGUCUCGCUCCUGACCUCGUGAUCCGCCCGCCUCGGCCUCCCAAAGUGCUGGGAUUACAAGCGUGAGCCACCGCGCCCGGCUUUUUGUUCUAUUUUUGAGAUGGAGUUUUGCUCUGGUUGCCCAGGCUGGAGUGCAGUGGCGUGAUCUUGGCUCACUGCAACCUGUGCCUCCCAGGUUCAAGCGAUUCUCCUGCCUCAGCCUCCCAGGUAGCAGAGAUUACAGGCAUGCGCCACCACGCGCAGCUAAUUUUUAUUUUUAGUAGAGACGAGGGUUCACCAUGUUGGCCAGGCUGGUUUUGAACUCCUAACCUCAGGUGAUCCAUCUGCCUGGCCUCCGAAAUUGCUGGGAUUACAGGCAUGACCCACCGUGCCUGGCCUUGUUUUUGUUUUUUUUGAGGCAGGAUCUUGUUCUGUUGUCUAGGCUGGAAUGCAGUGGUGUGGUCACUGCUCACUGCAGCCUUAACCUCCUGGGCUCAGACAAUUGUCCCGCCUCUGCCUCCUGAGUAGUUAGGACUACAGGUGUGCACCACUGCGUGUGGCUGAUUUUUUAUUUUUCUAGAGACGGGGUCUUGCUAUGUUGCCCAUGCUGGUCUUGAAUUGGACUCAAGUGAUUUUCCUAAUUUGGCCUCCCAAAGUGCUGGGAUUAUAGGUGUGAACCACUUUGUCCAGUUGUGAUGCAGUUUUGGUGGUCAGAUAACAUGAAUGCUUAAGGGCCUUUGACAUGCUACUUUUUGUCUUGAGAUAUGUAUGGGAUAGUACAUGUUUAAGAGAAAACAAUAGUGCAAAAUGCCUAAGAUCCUAUAUCCACAUUAACUUUAAGACUUCUAUAUGUGAGCUUUCGAGCCCGUCUUACAUGUGUAGAAAAUGAGCUUUGUUAAUACAGGAGUCUCAAGACACUUAGAUAUAUUCUUAGUUCUGUAGGGGCCAGACUACAUAAAUACUGGGAAACGGUGAAUAACAUCUAUAUAGCAUCUGAUGGUAAUAGCCAGGCACUGUUUUAAGUGCUGUUAUCUCUGUUGACUGAAUCUAAUACUAUCAUUUACUGGUGGGAAUUUUUCAAAGAACAGGGAUGGAUUGGUAUUAAAAUCCAGGAAGUCUGAUUCCUAAGACCCCCCACACCACAGUGUCACUGUUGACGUAAAGAUUUUUGCCCCUAACCUUUCAGGUGUUUGGAAGAAGGCAGAAUUAGAAGCACUAGAAAAAUGUAGCUUUUAGCUUCUCGAAAGCGUGCGGAUUAGGAAGUGGGAAUCUCCAUUUGGGAGAAUUGAAAGGUUUUUGGUAUCCUUAAUUUUUAAAAGGCCACUCCCCAGCUGUUUCUAAGACUAGAACAGGCCAUGGAAGCUUAAAGCUGCUAAUUGCAGUAAGAGGCUGAGUUUAGGAGUUGGUAUACCUGUUGAAUUAGUUAUGGAAACUAGGUUUAUUUUAAUGGUGAAAUCUAGAUUUUCUUAGCGUCUCUGAAGGCAGUACUUAGCCAGCCUGAAGUUGCUAUCAAAAGCAACUUUUCCCUCUUGGGGUUUUAAAACAUGCUUCUCAGUGCAGUAUGGUACUAUGUUGAUGUUUUUCCCCUCUAUCCCUAGACAAUCAGACAAACUUUUUUUUUUGAGUUGGAGUCUUGCUGUGUUGCCCAGUUUGGGUGAUCUUGGCUCACUGCAGCCUCUGCCUCCCGGGUUCAAGCGAUUCUCUUGCCUCAGCCUCCCAGGUAGCUGGGAUUACAGGUGCCCAUCCCCAUGCCCAGCUAAUUUUGAAUUUUUAGUACAGACGGGGUUUUACCCUGUUAGCCGGGCUGGUCUCGAACUCCUGACCUCAAGUGAUACACCCACCUCAGCCUCCCAAAGUGCUUGGUUUACAGGCGUGAGCCACUCUGCCAGUCUUUUUUUUUUCUUGGGAUAGGGUCUUGCUUGGUCACCCAGGCUGGAAUGUAGUGGUGUCGUCUUGACUCACUGCAACCUCCACUUCCCAGGCUCAAGUGAUCCUUAUGUCUCAGCCUCCCAGUAGUUGGAAUCUCCCACCACCAUGUCUGGCUGAUUUUUGUAUUUUUGUUAGAGACAAGAUUUGACCAUGUUGGCCAAGCUGGUCCUCGAACUCCUGACUUCAAAUGAUCUAUCUGCCUGCCUUGGCCUCCCAAAGUGUUGGGAUUACAGGUGUGAGCCACUGUGCCCAGCCAAGACUUAAGCUACUUUUAAUCUUAGAGGUGUUAGGGAGUACGAUAAAUUCCUUCUUUUGAAAAAAUGGCAGGGAGAUAACGAUUAUGUCUCAAAAAGGGGCUCUCAAAACCAGGCUUGAGAUACCAUGAGGAGUGUGGAUGUAAUCCUAAGGAAAGGUUUAGGACCUGCCUUUGUAGGGCGUGGUUUAGCCUUUGUUUUCUAUAUUUAUAUUCCUUUCAUCUUUAUUCCUUGCUUUUUUUUUUUUUUAUUUAGACGGGGUCUUGUUCUGUUGCUAGGCUGGAUGGAGCACAGUGGUGCUAUCUCGGCUCACUGCAACCUCUGUCUCUGGGGUUCAAGCGAUUCUCCUGCCUCAGCCUCCCAAGUAGCUGGGACUACAGGUGUGUGCCACCAUGCCUGGCUAAUUUUUGUAUUUUUAGUAGAGAUGGGGUUUCACCAUGUUGGCCAGGAUGGUCUCAAUCACUUGACCUCAUGAUCUGCCCGACUCGGCCUCCCAAAAUGCUGGGAUUACAGGUGUGAACUACUGCGUCCGGCCAUCUUUAUUACUUUCUAGGAUGGUUUGAGGCCAACCCUGUCUUCCUCAAAAGCUAAACAAAUGUGUUCUUACAUAACUUGUAUGUAACCGAGUCUCCUAGCAGAUGAUGUUGGCUAGAUAAUAGAGAAAACAAUUUGAACAGGUAGGUAUAUAUGGAUAUAAUCAGUAAAAAUGAUAGGUAGUAGCCUUUUCAAAAAUCUGCAUUUUUAAGAGGAUGUUAGUGACCCAAAUCUGUGUUUCUCGUUUUGGUGUUGGAGUAUUUGUUAGUCCUGCACAUUUGCCAAACUGAUACCCGAAAACUAUAUUGUCUUGGUUUCAUUUGUACCUGACCAUACAAAAUGAUAAAAAUCCCAAAUAACUAAGCAUGAUUGAUUUUUUGUAAGUGUUAAUAUUAGUUGUUAAUCAUUUACUCGAUCCUCAUUUGCAUAUGAUAUGCAAAAUGUUUAAAUUUUAUUAGAGACAAUUUGAAAUUUGUGAAUUCUAGGUAUUUGAACAUUUUUUCUUCUAAUUGGGAAACCACUCAUUUUGGCAGUAGUUUGCUGUACCCAGUUUUGGGGGUGCCUUGUGUUAAAACCAAAUACCUAAUGAACUUGAGAUUAUUAGUGAGGUAACAUUGUGUUAACGUAUGUGUUUGUUUCCUGGUUUUUCCUUGUCAAAGUUUUUCUCCUCUACUAACGUGAUGCAUUCGCCCAGUUUUUUCAUUUCAUUAGCUAUUUUUUGAGUUUGUUUUGCCUAAUUGCAUCUUACUGUGUUCACUUUUGCAUACUUGAUGUCAAAUUUGACUUUUCGGGAGCAUCAUCCCAAUAAUGUCAGAAGGGAAGGAACAGAAUCUGAACUUUUUAGAUUAGAACUUCUGAAGUCUAAUUCUACAGCACUUUUGAGCAUUUAUUUCUCUUUUGGGUCACAAAACUUGGAAUGGGAUUUGGGCAUUUGAGUAAUGGGUUAAACAUAUAUAUUGAUUAGUUCAGGAAUUGAGUGACUUUAAGAUGCUUAUCAGAUACUGUUUUAGAGAUCCCAGCAAGAGGCAGAUUCGGUUUCUGGUUUCGUAGAGUUUACAGUCACUGAACAAGUCUUUAAGUAGCAAAUUCUAAGUUGGGGAUAGGUGAGGCUUCUUGGGUAGGCAUCCUGUCUGUGUUCCCGGCCAAGACUUGAUGACUUCUGGUAGAUGUACUGGAAAUGCUGGAGAAAGACUCAGGCAAGACUGGUGUUUUUGCUGUGCUUUCUAGUUUACCACACUGGCUUUCAGAAUUGCUUUGGGACCAGAAUCCAGGCCACGAGGGGAAGGGCUAGGCUGUGCAAGGGGAGCAGUCCUCCCGUUUGUAGGUGCCAUUUCCCAGAGCUCCUGGAAUUGUUUCUUCAGUUUUGGCAGCUGUGUAGAUCAUUUUUGUUUUAUCUGUAAAGUUAAAAAGGGAUAUAGGUAUAGAGAGAGAACAAGAGGAGUGAACGAUGAAGCUUGUUUAAUCUGGAAAGUACAAAAAUACCAACUCAGCCCUAUUGUGUGCUAAGUAUAUAUUUUCCAUUUCUGUCGUCUCUCCCGUGGUUUACUCUUUAAACUCACUUUCCCCUCAGUCUCCCUAGUGGUAGUACUAGUAGUAAAAGUCCUAAUGAAUUAGACUAUUGUGUCUUCAUCAUCACUUCACUUCUAACUUCUUUGUGUAUACAGUAAAACAACAGGAGAUGAGUUUAUGUAUGCAAGGACUGUGUUGCAUUCAGGGAGUGAGGAGGCAGGCGGGAAAGAUCUUUGAGAAAGUCUAACCAAGAGAGUUUCCAGUUCUUCCCUCCAACCCCCAAUUCUUCUACAUCUUCUUGUGCGUGGUGUAGGCGGUGAUGCAAAUUUGAAGAUAGCUUUGAUUCCUGCACCUUUCUAUACAGGUGGGAGAGUUCUCUAUACAGAGUUGUUCUCCCAUCAGGUGCAGGAAUCAAAAGUAUAAAAACUUGACAGAUUCCUCCCCCUGAGAAUAGCUUCUUGGGGCCAUUAGGUCUAAAGAAAUAUGUUGCUUUGAUUUAGUGUUUCCACUGGGGUCUUCUGAGAUACAUUGUGAGGAAAGUUCUUUUCAAGUCUUAAGAGCUAAAGAUCCAUAGAGUAUUGCCCUUUGAGGUCACUCCAGGUCUUUUUGGUACUAAAACCUCAAAUCUGGGAACUUGGUUGGUCUAGAAACUUCUCCUCUUCUGUGCACUUUUUGUAAGAGGGCAGCAAAUCUCUUGCAUUCCUCUCAGAUAAGCAUCAGACUAGAUUCUUUCUCACAACUCCACUGUAGCUUUGAACCAAAGCUUCUAGAGUAUGGUCAGCCUGUACUUGUUUCGUGUUGGCUGCUUGGCAACCUAAUUACAUCUUAGCUAAUUGCAAAGGGAGAGAGAAUUGGCAUUUGCUAGUAUAAUGUAACAAAUUCCAACCGGGAAAGUUGUGUAUUUCUCCUAGGGUGUAAAUCACAGUCCCUAGGGUCUAGAAAGGUUUUGAAGGGGACUUCAAUUCGUGGAUGUGAAGGGACAGUUGAAGGAUUUGGGUAAGUACUUAGGAAGAAUAUGCUAAUGUUUAGAGUUAUAAUGAAAUGUUAAUAAAGUAGGUUUGAAUGUCCUGUUUGUUUUUUUUUUAUAAUUGGUGUUAAAGUACACUUCGAGGAAGGCACUCGGGUCUGUCUUGAGGUUCAUUUUUAUUUUGAAAGGUAAUGCUUUGAGCAUUUUAGAGAAGAGAUGCUGUGUUAACCCCAUAGUGAUCAGAGUAAAGUAUAAAUCAUAUUAAGUUUAUUGUGGAGGUAGUUACUGUUUAACAACCUUACGCUUAAGUUUCCUUUACUGCGUAACUAGAGUUGAGGAAUCUUUUUUUUUUUUUUUUUUCUUUAUUCUGGGUUAUAUUAGGCUGCGUUGCUUUCAUAUGUUUUUCCUCAUAUGGAGGUGCCAAUGAUGCUGUGGCUCUGACCUCGUUCCAGGAUAUGAGAACCUAGUCCUGAGAAAUGGAAACUUCCCCAACUCUUGCGAGUAGAGGCCUUUCACACAACUAAUAACUUCAGUUGUCCAAGGCAGUUCUGUCCUAUGAUGUCUCCCCACUGAGACAAAGCAGCCCAAAUUGCUUCAGUUUUAUGAGGUAAACUGCAUCCACAAUUUCAUUCUCCCAGCUAGAAGGAAGAAAUGGAGUGCAGUUGAUGGAAGUAGCCUUGGAUCUUUAAAGCUUCUUGGAUGCUUCUUGGGGCUGCCUGGUUCUUAGUGACUUGAUAAGAGUUAAAGCCCUAUCCAAAAAGUUGCUGCUAGAAACUUGCUUGUUGGCAGGCUCAGGUCUAAUAUUGGAGCAGAACUUGAAGUGGGGAUAAUUUUAGUACUCACCCUUGGGAGUCUUGAAUUUCUCAUAGCACCGAAACAUGGCAAUGAGGAGAAGCCCUUCUCCAAGCUGGAAAAUCAUGUAGAGGAGGGGAAAGAAGAAAAGUGGUCCAAUGACUUCAGGUGGAAAGGCCACAUUGAGGAUGGUGGAACAGAGUUGGACAUUUUGGCAUCCGGUCUCCAUGCUGACAGUGCGUCUGCACCUGUGUCGGUGAAGAAAACCCCACAUACAUUCAGAAGGAACUGGAGGGAGCAACUUUGUCCCAGUGCUGCUACCAAAGAGUUUGUCAGCAGAUGGAAUCUAGACCCUGGACAGGGGUACUUUGCUGUUGCUGUUGGUGUUUGGAUACCUUUGAUGUCUGGAUUUUUAACCCGUUCGAUAACUUCCCUCAAUUUUUUUCAAGUCUAAAGUCUUGUCCAGUUAGUCCAGCUGAACAUACUGCCAGGAAAAUGUCUUACCCAGAUUUCAGGUUCCUAGCUUUUUAUUCUUUUCCUGAAAGACUAGGACAAGAAUGAAGCCCAUGGGACAGUGGGACCUAAAAUAAUACCUUUCUCCAGGCAUGGAGAUAGAUUACGCCUAUAAUCCUAGCACUUUGGAAGGCUGAGGCAGGCGGAUCACUGAGCUCAUUAGUUCAAAACUAGCCUGGGCAACAUGGUAAAACCCUGUCUCUAGAAAAGAUAAAUCAACUGGUCAUGGUGGCUUGUGCCUGUAGUCCCGGUUACUUGGGGGGCUGAGGCAGGAGGAUCAGUUAAGCCCAGGAGGUUGAGGCUGCAGUGAGCUGAGAAUGUGCUACUCCCCUCCAGCCUGGGCAACAGAGUGAGACCCUUUCUUAAAAAAAAAAAUACCUACCGUCCAUUGAGGCAGAAGAGAGCAGAGAGAACAUAACCCAGCAGAAAGCCAAUAAAAGGCAUCAGGGAGGAGGUGGCAAUCAAGAGUGGUGUCAUGGCAAACAUGAUGCUCUUCCCCACAUUGAUGGCAGAGAGAACUGUGACGGCCACACUGCACAAGAGAAUGAUGAUCAUCCCUCCCUGGGAAUGAAGACAAGAAGAAAAGGCAAUUAGAAGAGUUGGGGAUAGAGAGAAACAGAGGUGGGGAAGCAUAGGUAGAAAUUGGAGGUGGGAAACAUUGCAAUAAAACACUGGAAGUGGAAAGGAAUAUGAAAGACCUUUAUCUUCUUUUUGGAUUCCUUUUUUUAAAAAUUUUAAAAAAAUUAUUAAUAUUAGAGACAGAGUCUUACUAUGUUGCCCAGGCUGGUCUUACUCCCGGACUCUAGUGGUCCUCCCGCCUUGGCCUCCCAAAGUGCUGGGAUUACAGGUGUGAGCCACUGCACCCAGCCCAUCUUUAGAUUUCUUAUCAGUAGCUAGGAAGCUUGGGGACAGCUGAUUAACACUUUGAUUAUUACAAACUCAGCCAAGCACAGUUUCUGCUUUUGACACGCCUCUGGAUAGCAGACUUUGAGUGAAGUGUUACGUGAGGCUAUUCAGGACUCGUGCAAAAUGGAUAUUAUAAAAGUUUAAAAGUCAGUGUUUUUGGAACUUAUAUACACAUUCCUACAAUACUGUCAUUGUUCCACAUACUUUGAAACUCAUGAGAACUUGUCAUACAUAUUUGUCUCAAAUACCUUGAUUACAGGUAGGGAUUUUACCCAUUUUGGGAUCAAUUUGACUUCUGGAAAUUGCCAAGAGUCAUUUGAAGCAAAGCUGGUAAACAAGGUGGAUGAUCAAGCCCGGAAAUAUGGUUUUAAACCCAAAAUUAUGUCUAAUAAGAGGACAAACCUACUUUCUUGAGUGACCUGCAAAUUGAAUAUGAAGGAAGUUCCCAAAAGAACUUUCAGAAAUCUUGAGUGAUAACAACAUCAUUGGAAACUGUGCAGGUCUACUCUGAAUGAAAUUAUAGGGUUUUUCAUUGUGCAACGUAGGAUGCAACGUUUCAAAAUGCACCUCCAUGCACUUUAUACUUUCCAGUGUGCAUUUUAGAGAAUUGUGUGCUCCAAAAUGAUAAACAGGUAUGUGUAAAUUUAAGACUGUCCCUUUUAUCUCCUGAGUAAAUAACAAACUUUUCUCAAACUUAGCAUGUUAUUUUGUAAUAGUUAUAUGUGUUGGUUCACUUUUUGGUUCAUUCACGUGUUGAAUUUUAUAUUUCCUAGUAACAUUUAAAAAAAGUAGUAAAAUAUGUAUAGCAAAGUUUGCCAUUUUAAUCACUUUUGAGUGUACAGUUCAGUGGCAUUAAGUACAUUCAUAAUGUCUUAACGACAUUUUAACAUUUAUAUUGCUCAAAUUUCAGCUGCACAGCUUUGUGUUUCUGUUUUUAAUACUUGUUGCAACUGAUGUGAUCAUAGAAAACAUCACCUAUACCAAUUAGUGGUCCUAUCCCAGCAUAGGAAGGACUUUCACACAUCUCUUGAAUAACCAUGUGCUUCAAGUUUUAUUAAAGGACUUACUAGCUAAUGAA